UGUGUCUUGAAAAGUAAUUUCGUUCA
rnacentral:piRNA from 1 species